UGGAAAUACAGGAUUUGGUGCUAUGCAAAAUGCAGACUUGCCUAAGCAAAGAAGAAAUCAAGACUUAGACUAAAAUUCUUGAUAAACUCUUGCCAGGACUUUGAAGGAAAAAAAGCUGUGACAGAUUACAUAGUAAUGCAAUCUUCUAUGUUACCAUUUGAAGGGAAAUCUGUCUUUAGUUUAACCUGGACCAAUGUUAGAGGAGUGAUGCUUCAAAUGAGCCAGCAUAAAGGAUGGAGGCUUGGUGCUGGCCUGUGGCCUAAUCACAUACAGCAUGGAGACUCUUCGUGGGAAAGUUGCAUUAUGUGUGUUGACCACAAGAUGGCGGAAUUUCCUAUCGCACCUUCCCACUCAGAACUGCUUCACCCGGCUUUCUGAGCCGUGGGGAGCCAGUGACUGCUGCUUCUGCCUUGCGUGGAAAUGACAUGGGAUAUGGAUAUUCAUUAUUAGAGGAAGAAGCAAACAAAACAGUACUUAAGGCCUAAUCCUGCAACAAUAUAAGCACUUCAGCAAUAUUAACUCAAAGAAGUAGUUCCACAGAAGUCAGCUACUCAUUAAAGCAAACUUGUUCUGUGCUGGAAGCUAUCUUCAGCGUUAGGAAAAUGGAUUGCUGACAUAGCUAUGCUCCCAAAACAUUUAAAAAUGCUGAGCAACCACUGGCAAGGUCUGCUGCUUUCAAUUAAUAAAAACUAUGCUGUGCUCAUUACAAAAAUAUCUGCAUAAUAAGACUGCAUAGGAAAAUGCC